CACGUAGUUAGCCGUGGCUUAUUCGACAGGUACCGUCUUCUGCUCUUCCCUGUCAAAAGAAGUUUACAACCCGAAAGCCUUCUUCCUUCACGCGGCGUUGCUGGGUCAGGCUUUCGCCCAUUGCCCAAUAUUCCCCACUGCUGCCUCCCGUAGGAGUCUGGGCCGUAUCUCAGUCCCAAUGUGGCCGGCCAACCUCUCAGUCCGGCUACUGAUCGUCGCCUUGGUAGGCCGUUACCCUACCAACUAGCUAAUCAGACGCGAGGCCAUCUCUCAGCGAUAAAUCUUUGGUACAGAUACCAUGCGAUACCCGUACGUUAUGCGGUAUUAGCAGUCGUUUCCAACUGUUGUCCCCCACUGAAAGGCAGGUUCCUCACGCGUUACUCACCCGUCCGCCACUAAGCAUUCUUUUCCAUUGACCGAAGUCUCUUUCGAAGGUGCUCCGUUCGACUUGCAUGUGUUAAGCACGCCGCCAGCGUUCGUCCUGAGCCAGGAUCAAACUCU
rnacentral:rRNA from 1 species